rnacentral:rRNA from 1 species
CCUACGGGAGGCAGCAGUGGGGGAUAUUGCACAAUGGGGGAAACCCUGAUGCAGCGACGCCGCGUGGGCGAAGAAGGAUUUCGGGAGGUAAAGCCCUAUCAGCAGGGAAGAAGAAAUGACGGUACCUGAGUAAGAAGCACCGGCUAAAGACGUGCCAGCAGCCGCGGUAAUACGGAUGGUUCAAGCGUGAUCCGGAUUGACUGGGUGUAAAGGGGGCGCAGACGGCAGCGCAAGCCAGGAGGGAAAGCCCGGGGCCCACCCCCGGGACUGCUCUUGGAACUGCGCGGCUGGAGUGCAGGAGCGGCCGGCGGAAUUCCUGGUGUAGCGGUGCACUGCGUAGCUAUCAGGCGGAACCCCGGUGGCGCAGGCGGCCUGCUGGACUGCGUCUGCCGUUGAGGCCCGAACGCGUGGGGAGCAAACCGGAUUAGAUACCCUAGUAGUC